UACGUAUGGUGCGAGCGUUGUCCGGAAUUAUUGGGCGUAAAGAGCUCGUAGGCGGUCUGUUACGUCUGCUGUGAAAACCCGGGGCUUAACCCUGGGCUUGCAGUGGAUACGGGCAGACUAGAGGCAGGUAGGGGAGAAUGGAAUUCCCGGUGUAGCGGUGAAAUGCGCAGAUAUCGGGAGGAACACCGGUGGCGAAGGCGGUUCUCUGGGCCUGACCUGACGCUGAGGAGCGAAAGCGUGGGGAGCGAACAGG
rnacentral:rRNA from 1 species